AUUGGCGGGGAUCAUUUUCCAAACCUCACUUCCUUGAACUUUCUUAUCAACCCAAUGCUAUAAAUACUGCCCAAACUCACACUUUAAAAUUCCAAACACAAACACAUAAUUAACACUCAUUAUCAUUAAUUAAUUAAUUACCCUCUUAAUUACACAACCUCACUUUGUAGAUCUAAUUAACUAGCUACAAUGGCAACGCAAUCAAACAAUAUGGUGGCAGCAAAAUCAAUACUCUCGACAGUAGGCUCUACAGUGGCGGCAGCCAUGGUGGCGCGUUCCAUAAUCAACGACUUCCUCCCCUAUGAAAUCCGCAACUACCUCUUCUCCUCCCUCCACUCCGUCUUCAGCCGGCGGCUUUCGUCGGAAAUCACCAUGAUCAUCGACGAGUUUGACGGCCUCGAAACCAACCAGAUCUUCGAGGCGGCGGAGCUCUUCAUAGGAGCCCGUACUAAGACCACCUCCACCUCCACGUCCGCCACCCGUCUUAAGGUCCGAAAGCCCGAAUCCGAGAAACAAAUCCUGGUCAACGUUGACCGAGAUGAGGAGAUAGUGGAUGAGUUCGAGGGGAUCAAAUUUCGUUGGAUGUUACACUGCCGUACGAUCGAGAGUUCGUACAACCUAAGGGACAUGAACUCCACCCUGAGGUCCGAGGUUCGAGCAUUCCACCUAACAUUCCACAAGAAAUUCAAAGCCAUUGCAUUAGAAAAAUACAUCCCACACAUUCUAAAACAGGCAGAGUUUUUCAAACUAGAGAGGAAGACGAUCAAGCUGUUUACAGUAGACCCGAACAACUUAUACUCGGGCUCGGUAAACGCGUGGAGCUCCAUUAGUCUAAACCACCCGUCCACCUUCGAGACGUUGGCCAUAGACUCCGAUUUAAAGAAGAUGAUCAUCGAGGAUCUCGAGAGGUUCGUGAAGAGGAAGGAGUAUUAUAGACGUGUAGGGAAAGCGUGGAAGAGGGGUUACUUGUUGUACGGGCCUCCGGGUACGGGUAAAUCGAGCUUGAUUGCGGCAAUGGCGAACUACUUGAAUUUUGAUAUAUAUGAUCUUGAAUUGAGUGGGUUAAGGGUGGAUUCGGAGCUCCGAAAUGCGUUGGUGGGUACGGCGAAUAAGUCGAUAGUGGUGGUGGAGGAUAUUGAUUGCUCCAUUGAGUUGAAUAAUAGGGAUAAUAAUGUUGUUGAUUAUGGUGGUGGAUACCAACAAGAAAAGGUAACAUUAUCUGGAUUCCUGAACUUUAUUGAUGGAUUAUGGUCAAGUUGUGGGGAUGAACGAAUCAUAAUAUUUACCACAAACCACAAAGAAAAGUUAGACCCCGCAUUGCUACGUCCUGGAAGAAUGGACGUGCACAUUCACAUGUCUUACUGCACUCCAGGUGGGUUCAAGGUCCUUGCCAACAACUACCUCGGCGUAACGGAUCACGAACUCUUUACAGACAUCGAGAGACUGGUCGAGGAAGCGGAGGCCACCCCGGCGGAGGUGGCCGAGCAAUUAAUGAAGCACGACGAGCCCGAUUCGGCACUAAAAGGGCUAGUUGAGUUCCUCAAACUUAAAAAAGUUGAAGAUGAGGAAGCCAAGGCUUUGAAAUUGGAGGAAGAGUCUAAACCCAAAGAGAAUAUUAAUAAUAAUGAUGAUGAAGAUCAUGGUAUGAAGUUGAUUGAUGAAGAACAAGAUGUUAGCUUAGAUGUUACCAAUAAGUAAAUGCACUUCUAACUCUUAUGCAUGUAUAAUGGAUUGAAGUAUUAAGUAUAUUUAGUGUUCAUUGCUAAGGGUAUAAACGUCUUUGUACAUUAUACACAUUAUAUCUAUAUAUAUACGAGGCCAGACACCCAUCCAUCUAAAGGAACCCAAGUAUCCUCAUUCAUGAGGGGUGGAGCUAGAUCGCGUCGGCGGGGAAGAAGACGGGGUCGUUUCAUCAGAAUGUUUUAGACAAUGAAGGUUAAGGGAAUAAGGCAGGGCAAUGCUAGCUAGGUCUUGGCCGAGGCAAUGUGGAGUGGAGUAGGGCUAGAUGAUACAUAUAUAUUCAAACAUGUGUUUUCUCUUUUUAAUAUUUUGCAUUACGUACCACCUAAGUAAUCCAACUCUACCUGGAAUGAUAAUGGACGAUAGUGAAAAUUCACGAGGAAAAAAAAAAUAGGAUGAACAUGUAUUAUAGGUAUUUCGCAUUCAUAUAUGAUUUUCCAUAUAAAUUUUGAU